AUAUACAUAUAUAUUUUCAAGACAGCAUUUCUCUGUGUAGCCUGGCUGUCCUAGAACUUACUCUGCAGACCAGGCUGGCUUUAAACUCAGAGAUCCACUUGCCUCUGUCUUCCAAGUGCUGGGAUUAAAGGGGUACACAACCACCGAACAGCUAAAAUAAAUAUUUUUAAUGGUGGUGGCUGGAGAGAUGGUCCAGCAGUUAAGAGCGUCUGUUGCUAGUUUAGAGGACCCAGGUUUCUUGCUAGCACCCAUGUGGUGGCUCACAACCAUUGGUAACUCCAGCGAUUUGACCCUCUUCUGACCUCCAGGAUCACCAGGCACACAUGUGGUGUGUAUGCACAGAUUUGAGCAAAACACCCAUAAGCGUAAAAUAAAAGGCUUAACCGUUUUCUUUUUAAAGAGACAGAAUACAGGGGAGAGGACUUACAGGUUGCCAAGGUUUUAAAAUGGGUGUGUGGUGGGAUGCAGGGAUUUCUCUCUUUCUCUCUCUUUCUUUCUUUCUUCCUUUUUUUUUUUAGAAAUGUGAUGAAUGAAAAAAAAAGCCAUGAAGGUAGAAGGGAGUGGUUGGGAAGAAUAAGUGGAUGAGUGGGAGGGGCCAAAGAGGGUGAUUGAUGGGUGGUGGAUAUGAUCAAAAUACAUGCUAUACUCUUGGGGGUUGGUCUUGCGCACUAUAUAUGCAGAUGCUGACUUCUGAGCCCAGAGAUCUGGUUACAGUACAGCCACUAGCAUUGUCAUGAUUGUCUCCUGUGUCAAUGUUAUCUAAAGGAUGUUCCCCAAUUAUCUCUGAUUGAGUAAUAAAGAGCCAAUCAGCCUGUGACUGGGUAAAGGAGCUAGGAAGGCUGGACUUAUGAUCCCAGCCAGGGGGGGGGGGGGAGAUACAGACUGUGUGGUGAGGUGGCGAUAAGACAAGAGUGUCCAGGAGCAAGUCACCAAGGGAUUUGCCAUGAGGAUACACAUGGACCAGAGCAAGCCAGGGCAAGAUCAGAUGGCAAGUAACAGGGCAUUUAUCUGGGUGUUGACAUCCUACUUGGGUUAGAAUAGUUCAGAACCUGUCCAGUUUAGGUUUGCAGCUUGUUAAUAAACCUAUCAGAUCUCCAUGUCAGUUAUGUGGGUGCUAGGAUGGGCUAGAAUGAAGAUAGAUAAGGAUUUCAUCCUUUAAUCACAGCUACACUGUACAUGCAUGAAACAUCAUAAUGAAGCCUGCUAUUGCAUCUAAUUAAUGCAUGUAAAAAAUUAAGGCGCGUGGUAAAGGCCAGGGUGCAGCUUCAUGGUUCUGUACUUUACACAGUAUACUAGGCCCUGGCUUUUAUCACAAGGGUUUGGGUAUGUGUCCGUGUGUAUGGACUCUUUUACCAGAGCCUCUGGAGCCUCUCAAACCUGAUGCUUGAUUCAGGGUAUGUGAAGGGCUCAUCUUGGUUGUCAACUUGACAACGUUUGGAGGUCACUGAAACCCAAGCAGCUGGGCACACCUGUGAGGGAUUACUCUUGGUUGAAUAUUUGAAGUGGGAAGACCCACUUAAGUUGGGAUCUUUUGAGGUCAGGAGACCCACCCUAAGUCUGGGCCGCACCUCCUGGUGGCGACCCACAUAAAAGGAUGUGGAAGAAGGAAGCUUGUGCUUUCUGUCUGCCUGCCCCACGCUCUCUGGCCAGCUCAUCUAUUCUGAGCCACUCCUUUGCUGGCUGGCAUUAGAGCCUACUUCCUUUUGGGAUUCCAAAGUGGAUCGAAAACGGGCAGCUCUCUAGGGUUUCCCUGGGAUUCCAGCACCUGCGCCGCUGAGGUGUCCAAUCUUGUGGAAUGAGCAACUACUGGAUCCUUGGUCUAGCUUGGUCUGCCGAUGGACUAUUUGGACUACAGCCUUGUGUUUACAGGCAUGUCACGAAGCUCUAUGAAGACAUUUUCUCACUCACGAAGUUCAGAACUAUUCUUGUUAUAUAUGGUGUGGCUUUGGUGCGUCGUUGACGUAAGGAUGGGCCUCUCCAGAGCCAGGCACGAUACCAGACGAGACGCUUCCUGUCGGCUCCAAUGCCCCCCAUGUCAAUUCACUCAUCACACCAGAUCAUAAAAAUAAACCUUUAAUGGCUUUAUAGUUGGCACAGAUGGUAUAAUUCAAGCUCACAUUUGUAUUUAACAAGCUGAAAUACCACGCUAGCUUUGAUGGAAACAGAACAAGAAUCACAGUGGCUUAGGUUUGGAAAUUAAAUCCAGCAGCAGCGCGUCCUGAAGUUGUUUGUUAAAUGAAGAAUGAGGGCUGGAGUAAACAAGAGAAAAAGCUGUCAGGAUAUAAGCACUGGAGCUCUGUGGGGAUUACUGCAGAAUUGUGCUUUCUGGCUUAUUAUUAUUUUUAGAUAGCUCAGUUAGCCUUUGUCUAUCCUUGAACUCCUGAUCUUCUUGCCUGCACCCC